rnacentral:sRNA from 1 species
UCUUAUUUUUUCAGCUAAUUUAUUGACAGUCAGUUUGUUUUGGCUUGACAUUGCCAUGGUCAGUAAAAAGUCGCAUACAAAUAUGUAUAGUUUUGCAUUUUAUAUGCAGUUAGUGGCUCUUCAGGGAUUUUCGAUAAAUUUAUCGAAGGCGAUUGUCGUCCAUCCAGAUUUUUGCCAGGACUGGCGAGUGUCUCGUUUUGAAGCUGAUGUAUUGGUGUUAUCCCAAGGUGGCAGGUAAGUAUUUACAUAUACGUUAUAUGUAUUUUUUACAUUGUUUAUUAAUUUCUUCGUUUUAUUUCAGUUCGUCUGCGUUCUACUGGCGUCCAUUGUGGUUAAUUAGUCAAUUGUCAAGUAAUUUUGUACAUAUUUGAUGUAUGUAGUAUUACUCGUCAAUUGAUGUGUUAGCUGUCAGUGAGUGGCGCAGGUCCGAAUUGGCAUCGUUGAAGAAUUGUCCUUGGUCGUCAGCAUGACACUGAGGCGAGUUGUAUUUCGUUGGAUUAUCCCUGAGUCGUCAAGUGUGUUUGUAUGCGUAUCGUCGAUUAUUUGCGUAGUUUUACUUUGUUAUAUAUUCAUUUAUUAACAUGUCAUUCUUUUUAGGUUAUUGGCUGAUCGUCAUCAUUGUUGUUGCUGCUGCAUGUAGUCAUCUUCAUUUUGGAUCCGGCUGGUGCAUUAACGGUCAGUAGUGUUUCUCGCUGGCUGACGAGGAACA